rnacentral:lncRNA from 1 species
AAACUAACAAGAAACUAAAACCAAUAGAUAGUGUUGAUAAAUAUCCAUAAUAACAAUAGAGAGAGUAGAUCACUUGCCAGGGCUUAAGCCUAGGUAUAACCUAUAAGUCGAUGUUGCCCUUUCCCUUCUGAUGAAGCACUGAAUAUGAGAAUCCCUUAGUCCCGACUGAUACACACAUUUUCAAUAAUUAAAAACGAUGAAGCAAAGAUUAAUACGACAUCUGCAAAUCUAGCUUACCUGCUUCAGGGACAUAGGGAAAGUUAGCAAACCACAUUGUUCAGGAGUCUGAACCACUUCCCUAACUAUCUCCCUCCAAGACUUGCAAACAGCAGCACAACACACCACAGCUCUUCGAGCUGGCCA